rnacentral:rRNA from 1 species
ACGCUCGACACCUACGGGGGCAGCAGUAGGGAAUCUUCCACAAUGGACGCAAGUCUGAUGGAGCAACGCCGCGUGAGUGAAGAAGGUCUUCGGAUCGUAAAACUCUGUUGUUAGAGAAGAACACGAGUGAGAGUAACUGUUCAUUCGAUGACGGUAUCUAACCAACAAGUCACGGCUAACUACGUGCCAACAGCCGCGGUAAUCUGAGCGGGCUGGCAAGGC